AUCACUUAUAGCUUAUUAUUUGUACUAAUAAAGUGUAUCUUCUGCAGAGCCUCAAACUGAGAAAGAGAGAAAGCCAGUAUGGGAGAAAACAAAACAGAACAGGAAGAGGAAAAAAUACAUCCAAAGGGCUGGUCACAAUGACUUGGCAGAUUUAGCAGCCACACUUUUACAUGUGCCUGGAGGUCCUCGCAAUUAAGUCUUCCCGAAAAUGUCAGUGCCUGCCCAGCCUGGCUUCAUCUGAAUAUCACUGUGAACUGAAUGCCAUCAAAGCGAUUGCUGAGAUUGGCAGAAGCAAUGGUGGCACCUGGUCAACCUCCAGCUUUAAAAAUCAAUGAGCAGCAGAAUAAUUACACUUUAUUGUACCUGCUAAUUUCUCCUGGAAAAU
rnacentral:lncRNA from 1 species